rnacentral:lncRNA from 1 species
UGUGUGGCAUCUGUUGGCUGCCUUGUGAUUCAGCCAUAGCUGGUGGUUCGGCACAAAACAUCAUUCCUCUCUUCACCUCGCCAACAGAUUAGAUAGCAGCAGCCAGGACAGUUCUUUUUGUGAAGUGUCUACUUAUUGCGGGACGACUGGUAUCUUCAACAGUUUUACAGUACAUGGAAACGAAGAUAGCUACACAAGAAAAACACCUAAUAAUUGUCAACACUGAACAGAAGUUAAACAUGUAACAGCUACGAAGAGGAUACAAUUUAAGUGUUUGUGUUCACAGGGAAUAGGCAGCAGAAGAAUCGUCGAAUAAACAAGAGCUUUGUCUCCCGAGUGAGAACUUCGUACAUGGAAAGAAAUAACGACCUCAGCAGACGAACCGUCCUAUCUGCUAUCUUUAUCCGCGCUCCAAAAAUAGCAACAAUCCAGAUGCUAACAGUGGUUUUUGAAGCCAACCAAAGACGAACAUUUCCAAGGAAGGAUCCGUAAAAAGCUCUGCUUGCUGCGUGGACUAAAUGUAUUUUCAUCAAAACCAGGAGAGAUAAAAUGUGCGUUUGAGCGACAGCAUAGUCGUGGUGUGCAGACCUUGAAAUUGCGGGUCAGCGCAGGGAUACUGUCUUCUCUUCAUCAAUAAACAGAGCUCGGCAUGAUGUGCUACCUGUGUCCGCUGGAUCAGCUGUACGGCCGACGGCGCCUGGCUCUGCUUGCCGUGGGUGUGGGCGUCCUCCUGCUGCUCUUCUCCGCUGGUUUCGAGCACUCGUGGAAGCACGUUUGCGCCCCUGCCAACAGCAGUGAUGUGACCCAAAGCUUCAGAGGGGUUUACACGGAUCGCGGAGCAUAUGAUGGCUUUGACAUUCGGCAUUACAUUCAGACAGCAGCAGUAGUGGUUGGCACUGCCACGUUCUUGAUCAGUGCUACCUUGUGGGGUGAGGUCUGGGAUGAACAUUUCCUGCGACUGAGACUGGUUGUCGUCAUCAGUAUGUCGCUGU